rnacentral:rRNA from 1 species
GACGAACGCUGGCGGCGUGCCUAAUACAUACAAGUCGAACGAAACUUUCUUACACCGAAUGCUUGCAUUCAUCGUAAGAAGUUGAGUGGCGGACGGGUGAGUAACACGUGGGUAACCUGCCUAAAAGAAGGGGAUAACACUUGGAAACAGGUGCUAAUACCGUAUAUCUUUAAGGAUCGCAUGAUCCUUAGAUGAAAGAUGGUUCUGCCAUCGCUUUUAGAUGGACCCGCGGCGUAUUAACUAGUUGGUGGGGUAACGGCCUACCAAGGUGAUGAUACGUAGCCGAACUGAGAGGUUGAUCGGCCACAUUGGGACUGAGACACGGCCCAAACUCCUACGGGAGGCAGCAGUAGGGAUCUUCCACAAUGGGCGCAAGCCUGAUGGAGCAACGCCGCGUGAGUGAAGAAGGUCUUCGGAUCGUAAACUCUGUUGUUAGAGAAGAACAUGCGAGAG